GACGAACGCUGGCGGCGUGCCUAAUACAUGCAAGUCGAACGCUUCUUUCCUCCCGAGUGCUUGCCCUCAAUUGGAAAGAGGAGUGGCGGACGGGUGAGUAACACGUGGGUAACCUACCCAUCAGAGGGGGAUAACACUUGGAAACAGGUGCUAAUACCGCAUAACAGUUUAUGCCGCAUGGCAUAAGAGUGAAAGGCGCUUUCGGGUGUCGCUGAUGGAUGGACCCGCGGUGCAUUAGCUAGUUGGUGAGGUAACGGCUCACCAAGGCCACGAUGCAUAGCCGACCUGAGAGGGUGAUCGGCCACACUGGGACUGAGACACGGCCCAGACUCCUACGGGAGGCAGCAGUAGGGAAUCUUCGGCAAAGGACGAAAGUCUGACCGAGCAACGCCGCGUGAGUGAAGAAGGUGUUCGGAUCGUAAAACUCUGUUGUUAGAGAAGAACAAGGACGUUAGUAACUGAACGUCCCCUGACGGUAUCUAACCAGAAAGCCACGGCUAACUACGUG
rnacentral:rRNA from 1 species